UACGGGGGGAGCAAGCGUUGUUCGGAUUUACUGGGCGUAAAGGGCGCGUAGGCGGCCUCUGCAAGUCGACUGUGAAAUCUCCGGGCUUAACCCGGAAAGGUCAGCCGAUACUGCAGGGCUAGAGUGCAGAAGGGGCAACUGGAAUUCUCGGUGUAGCGGUGAAAUGCGUAGAUAUCGAGAGGAACACCUGCGGCGAAGGCGGGUUGCUGGGCUGACACUGACGCUGAAGUGCGAAAGCUAGGGGGGCGAACGGG
rnacentral:rRNA from 1 species